rnacentral:lncRNA from 1 species
AGCUGAGAUCAUCCAACUCAUGAAGACUCAUCCUCACCUGACAAGCAUAGAGUUGGAUUUGUGUCGUACGAGCGCGGAUCUGGAUCCACUGAUUUCUCAUGUAAACAGUGAAGGCAAGCUGACUGUCACCGUGAAGCAUGGUGUGUGGAAGGAUAGUGCAACGGUUAUGUAAUAUGUGGUUUGGCCGUCAAGCAACAACGUAUCAACGUUGGAAGAUGAUCCUCAUCAGACCACGUGAUGGCAGCAGACUACUACGGACUUCAAAAAAUAACUUGUCAAGUGAGGCGGUAACCAGGCUACCCGAAUAACUAACUGAAGGAUAUCUAAAGUUAAAAUGCAUGGAAUAUAGUAUCAUAAACAUUAGAAUACUUAUGCCCUGUCUUGAUACUUACAUAUACUAAAGCCAGAAACCUAUUUCAAUCACACUUGAAGCUUCAAGGUAAGCAAAAGUUUGACGGCUUGUGAACCCUUACCAUUUAACAUAAUCAUAAAAAGGGGUUUCCUAGCGACCAUAAGUUGGGUUGCAAUGUUAAAACAAUCUUUUCCAAUAUAAACUAGAGCCUACAAUAUACAGGCUACACUCAGCAAACAUGCUUUUACUUAGGCUUCUUCAUUUCUUCUUCAGUUACAAGGAACAACAAACUACAAACAAAUACAAUUUAUGUGAACUUAUUUGUAUCCAAAAAGAAAUUGUAUUGUUACUAUCAUUAGAUUCCUGGUAAGUAGAACUGACAAUGCAGAAGGUGAAAUGUGAAAUAUUAAAUGAAUCGAACAGAAGCGAUCUGAUUUGAACAAAUCUAAAAUCUCAAUAGAUUGUUUGAUAAACAAUCCAACCGUUUGUGUACUCAUAUUUGAUACACUGUCAUAAUGAUAUCACAUUUAUAUCGCAUUGUACUAUCAUAACAAGUUCAUCAGGAAUCUAAUUCGUAAUGAUCUGUUGAUAUAUCCUUCAUCUCGGUGAUACAUGUAUUCUGUAAGAAUUUCCGGUAUACCACCCUGAGGAUUUAUUUCAUGAACUACGGGUAACGUAAUUUGUUUCGACUUUUCCUGUUUAAUUAUUUAUCCAUUAUCAAGAAAGAUUGUUGAACAAUACCAUGUGUAGAAUGUAUAUACUCGAUCUAGACAAGCUUUAGACUUAUUUCUGUCCAAUCCAAUCAUUACUUGUUUUUUUAGAUUAAAAUAUUGAACAUAUUUGUUCCCUAAAUGUAAUCGUCAUAGCCAAGAAGUGAACAUACUCAUUUCUUGAUAAGAUGUACAAAAGCAUGAUAAAUUAUUUAAUAUGUAUAUGUGUGUAAAUAUAUCAUAAUCAUUAUACAUUGUAUCAUAUAUUUGUUUAGAAUUAUGCUUUUUGUUUUGUUUUGCUCUUCAGUCAAAUGGAAAAAGAACAUCCAUGCACAUUGAAUUUAAAUAUUGUGUCAUUACAUCAUUUCCCAGAAUGGAGACAUCUAACUAAUCUUACUCCUAACUUUGAUAUGAUCUAUUCUAGUUUGUGACAUGUAUCAAUUUAUACUCUAUUGUACAUUUCUUUCCUUUUAUGUCUCUAUUGUAAUGAUCGUUUUCUUUAAUGCCUGUGUGGUAAUGAUUUUGUCAUUUGAUGUGCUGUAAACCUGAACAACAGAAAGUGAUAAGUUGAGUCUUGCAAUGUGCGUUACGUUGUGAGAGAUGUAUUUCUCUCUGUUUGGGAUGUAUUGACAACAAAUUGCUUUUAUUACAGGCUCAUUGAUUGCCUUGAUAAAUUCUGGAAUCAUCUGAAAGCCGGUGAAUUUCUUUUUGAUAUAUUUCCCAUGUUCAUGGAUUUGCAGGACUGCUGUAACGUGUUAUUGAUAUCCGAAAUGUAUUGAAUAUGUAAACAUACAUAAAGUGGAAACAAAGAGUAUACAGUAGGACUUGCAGAAUAUGGAAUUUGUUGUAAGAACAACAAAUGUUUGUAAUUAUCUCAUCAGUAAUUGUAGAGACAAUAGUUCCAUGUAUUUAUAUAUGCAGUAAGACUGUCAUUUGCUUUCAAUGAUUGUUUUAUCAUCUGAUGAGCAACUUAUUUGGUUAUGUCAUAGACCAAAUAGAUCCGUGGCUAUAUGGAUUUUGUUAUAUAUGUUGAAGUUGUGAUGAUUUGUUUAUCAAGGUACAAAAAAUGGCUGUUUUUUAAAGGUCAUUUGGUAAAAAUCUUCUGAUUGUGUGUGUGUUUGUGUUUGUGUGUGUGUGUGUGUGUAUGUAUGUGUGGAGCUAGCCGUUCUAAUAUUUAUUCGAUUGUCAGCUUCAGGAGGAGAACAGCUACCUUUGUUUUAUUUGUCCGGCAAGAAAGAUAUAUAUUGUCAAUCCAAAUACAUUGUCAUUAUUCAUAAAAUCUUAUUUUUGUAUAGGCUAUUGUGAGAUUAAUCAGCAACAAUAAAAUUCAUCUACAAUGAC